ACACGUGUGCACUGCCUUAUCUGGGGAAUAGCUUCGAAGAGAUUAUACCCCAUAUAUGUUGAAUGGCAUCAUUCGACAUUGAACUCCGGUGGAUAGAGAUGGGCACGCGCAGAUAAAUAGUUGGUGAGGUACGGUCACAAGUCUACGAUCUUUAGGGGGCUGAGAGGUGAUCCCCCAACUGGUACUGAAACACGGACAAACUCCUACGGGAGGCACUGAGGAUAUUGGACAAUGGGUGAGAGCCUGAUCCAGGCCAUCCCGCGUGAAGGACGACUGCCCUAUGGGUUGUAAACUUCUUUUGUAUAGGGGAUAAACCUACCCUCGUGAGGGUAGCUGAAGGUACUAUACGAAUAAGCACCGGGUUAACUCCGUGCCAGCAAGCCGGGUAAUACGUAAGGUGCGAGCGUUAAUCGGAAUUACUGGGCGUAAAGCGUGCGCAGGCGGUUUGGUAAGUCAGAUGUGAAAUCCCCGGGCUCAACCUGGGAAACUGCAUUUGGAGACUGCCAAGCUGGAGUUUGGCAGAGGGGGGUGGAAUUCCACGUGUAGCAGUGAAAUGCGUAGAGAUGUGGAGGAACACCGGAUGGCGAAGGGCAGCCCCCU
rnacentral:rRNA from 1 species